UACGGGGGGGGCAAGCGUUGUUCGGAAUUACUGGGCGUAAAGGGCUCGUAGGCGGCCAACUAAGUCAGACGUGAAAUCCCUCGGCUUAACCGGGGAACUGCGUCUGAUACUGGAUGGCUUGAGGUUGGGAGAGGGAUGCGGAAUUCCAGGUGUAGCGGUGAAAUGCGUAGAUAUCUGGAGGAACACCGGUGGCGAAGGCGGCAUCCUGGACCGACACUGACGCUGAUGAGCGAAAGCCAGGGGAGCAAACGGG
rnacentral:rRNA from 1 species